rnacentral:lncRNA from 1 species
GGUUUUUUGAGGUCUGUACUCUUGCACCCGUGGCAUAGUUGCCUUUGUAUUGCUGAGAAGUCACUUAAUAGACCAGUUAGGAUUGUUGUAAAUGUUAAACUAGAAUCAUUGAAAGUAGAAAUUUGCUCACUUUAAUUUCACAAGAAAUCCUACAUGGGUUCUUGAAAUGUGUGAUUAGUUAUAUUAGAUGUUAUAUUCCGUUGAAAACUUGAUUAUUAGUAUCCAAGACAAUUUUGCGUUUGAUCAUACAUUCUCCCGUAAUAGGCACAAUGAUCUACCACAUGAAUGUCAAAUACCACUAAGCUUAUUUCUCUACAUGAAGAUGUUACUUGGAUGUUUUGAUCAUGCCACAUUUUUUAAAUAUGUGAGCAAAGCACAUUCGCUUGAGAAUUUUGCUUCCCACUGUAGGAUUUCUUCGAAUACACACAUAAAAGAUAAUCUUCUUGAUGCUUUGCAUUUGUCUCAUUGCUCGUAAUUUAUGUUUGACGAUGUUAUUUUCAAGUAGCUCAUGUUAAAUUGACUCACUUUCUUAAGGUUCCAUCAUUCCAACAAAACUAAAUAUGACGAGUUAUUUUUCUGCUUUAUCAGUUGGGCUUCUGGAUUUUUAACCUCAUGCAAGAUUGCUGUGCUUGAUCCAAGUCUCCUGAAUAUAUGCCUCAAACGAUGCUGAGAUCAUUGUUCAUGAAGGCUACUACUAAACACAACCUUCAUCUUGCUCAAUGCAAUCCACAGGUAAUUUUCCGUCAUCCUGAUGUAUGCAAUUCAAUAAUUUAUUUAGUUUAUGCUUUUGUCACAGAGAUGGAUGCACACCAGGAAUAAAACAGCGAUGGAGCUCAUUGCCAAAGGGUGGAGCGCCCUGAAAGAAGUUGAUAGAGUGAUUGACUAUUGCGAGCUUAAUGAUAAGCGUCUAAUCCCACUCCUUAGGGUAAAUUGUAGUUGAAUAAACAUCAAUUCAUAACUUAUUUUCUCUAUAAUUUCCUAUAAUAACAUAUAGAUGUAUUUUUUUUGGAGUAUGUCUGUUUUCCAACAUCUCUGAUUAUGCGUAUUAAGUUAUUUCAUACUCUAUUUGUUGAAUAUGUUGUGCUUCUCUCUCUCUCACUGUAUAAAUUUUAAACUACAUGGGUACAUGCAUAUGCAUUCAUGGGGAUAUAGGUGCAUACUACAUAGAGGGUGUACUUAGUGGAGUGUUAUUUUUAGAACUUUGAGAAGUGGAUUAAAGUUAUAUAUUCAAAUGAUAUAUAUGCACAUAUUAUUGCAUUACAAUUCUGAGGCAAUUUUAUUUGAUUGGGUUGGAACAUUAAUGUUCUGAGUAAUAUGAACAAAACAUACUUUAAGAAAGUGAGUAUCUAAUUCAAAUGUAUGACCAAUGCAUGUUCAGCUUUGUUCAAUGGAACCAAAUCCUCAUUUUUUUUAAUUUUUUCUUUUCAUUCCUUUGUAUUCAGAUUUUAGGAUUUUUACUAGACGUAGGGAAUUUUGUUUAGUUGACGAAGCUGGUUGUAUUUGAUUGUUUAUCAUUCUAUUUAGGUAUGCGGGGUUAAAAUUUUGGUGUGAAAUGUCAAUGAAGUAUCUUUGUUUCUCUCUCUCUUGUGAAACUUUGGAUGGUGGAAGGCUUUCCAAACAAAUGCAAGUACGUUCCGACUAAACAAAAUGCUUGAUCAUCGCGUAAUCCAUAUAGAAAGUAGCUUUUAUGUAAGUACAAUGUUUAUUUGAAAAUUAUAAAAAAUGUAAUAAAAAGUUUGAACCAUUUCAGAAUUGAAGUGAUAUGUGGACGCACUCUCGUAUUGGUUUCUCCUUCUGUCACCCUUCUUUCCUUGUUUAACGUUACAUCCUCUUGCUAUAUUUGCAAUUUGAAUUGAGUAAUCUGUUUUACUUCAUUCCUGGUUUUAAAACUUCAAGUGUUGUUUAUUUGAAGUUGAGACUUUUAACUGAGGCGAAACACUUAUUUUAUUUUAUUAAUUACUAGUAUUUGUUUUCGGGUUUUAUGUCAGACAGCAAAGGAUAACUUUGAAUUGGCUCUGGAGGCUGACAACUCAAAUAUGCAUGCGAGAUAUUGGCUUUCCAAAUUGCAUCUCAAAUACCAUGUCCCUGGGGCAUGCAAAGCUAUGUAAGACAUUUUCAAAAUGUGAAGUUCAGUGCUUAUUACUUCUCUACGAAAUUUUGUGUUCUAGGUAAUAUUAGCUGACCAAUGUUCUAGAUAUUUUGAUAAAUUAGAUAAUGUCUAGAUUAGGACGUCCCUGUAGCAUUAUUGUCUAUCUGACUUUGAGGUUAUGGUAACUUAACUUUCUGAGGACCUUCAUUUUUUUUCGUUUACACAUGUUGUUUAUGCUCAAUAAUAAAUAAUCCUUCCUUUCCUUGUCAUAAAAGAGGUGCUGCUUUGUUAGUAGAAGCCGCAAAUAUGGGGGAUGCAGAUGCGCAAUAUGAGUUGGGUUGCCGUUUAAGAGUUGAGGUCAGACUCCAUAUGCUUUUUAUUAAAAGUUAAAACUGAUGUUCUGGCAACAGUAGCAAUUUAGCAAGAUAUUAUGAACUGCCGUUAAAUUUUCAUUGGAAGCAAUUCAACAGCAUCUUAAGCCUCCUUUCCUUGGUGAAACGUUCAUGUUCUCAUUGCAAUCUAUAACCAAUUGUAGACCUAAUUGAUAACUUAUUAUUUGUUUGAAAACAAUGAAUUCACACACCUCUUGAAUGGUACACAAUUCAAAGAUGACACUGGAGUUGUCUUUAUGUUCUGUGGGGAAGCAUUAGCAGAUUCAGAACUUAAUAUGCUGGUUGGUUUUGAAUGGUGGCUCUACUGAGGCGAUAGACAGAGAAGGCCUCAAUGGUAGACUUAUCUAGUAUGAAAUAUUACCAAUACCAUGAAAGUGAAUGUUGUAAUGCCCUCUCCUUAGUUUUUGUUUUUCUUUUGCGUUCAAGGACAACUUUUGGUAUUAAUUAGUUGAUGUUUGAGUAUUUUGAAUUGCAUAUUUUUUUUGUCUGCUUGAUUCCAUGUCAGACAUACUACUAUUCUCCCAUAUAUUUUAUUAUUCCUUUUCUAGUAAUCUUUUCCCCCUAAAUCCUAUCUAACUCUAGUGUCCUUUUGAUUGGUUUAUAAAUAGAAUGAAUAUGUUCAAUCAGAUCAACAAGCUUUUCAUUAUUUGGAGAAGGCGGUUGACCAGGUGUGUAGUAUGUUUCACCAAAGCAUUAUCAUUUUCAGUGUAAGUUUUCUAGGCUCGAAACCUAAUGAUGCUUGCUAUUUUGUAGUUACAUCCAGGUGCUCUAUAUCUUCUAGGAGCUGUAUAUUUGACAGGGGAUUGUGUGAAGAAAGAUAUUACCUCAGCAGUAUGGUGUUUCCAUAGAGCAUCAGAGAAGGUAAAAGUUAACUCAUCUUUGCAUUUAUUGAACUACAUCACCUCAAGUUAAUCAGUAAUGUUAUAUGUUAGUCAGCAACACUGGUAAGAUUGAAACUAAUUGCUUCAGUGGCUUUCAAAGUUUUAUGUUACGUACGAGUUUUGAAACUUUGAAUCUCUGCAAUGUAAACAACAAUUCUAAUAACUACUUAAUUUGUAUGCUUGAACCUUAAUGUAUCGAGCUGGAACUUGCAACCAGGACUCAGUUAUUCAACUAAGGAAGCUGUCAUACAUGUCCUCUCAACUUUUAUUUUUUGCAUAUAUGCAGGGCCAUGCUGGGGCUGCUAUAGCAUAUGGAUCCCUUCUUCUUAGAGGUCAGCUGCUCACACCUUUUGACAUUGCUGAUCACAUACAGUUCCAUUUUUUAAUCUUUCCUUACCUAAUGAAGUCUUUUGAAUUUACUUGAAAGUUAUUUCUUUAGUCGAUCAAUAACUUCUAUUAAUAAUAGACUAAAUGAGAAGACAUUGUAUGUCUUUAGUUUUGUAUGGCCUGUUCACGACAUAGUUGUCACGGUGAGACACGGCGGUAGUUGAAGACGGCUAGGCGAUGUGCCGCCUAUCAUGGCCUCUGUAUGGCGACAAGUCAUUAACAAUUUGCAAUUUAUACAUUAUUUAUUAACGUCAAGGGUAUAUGGAAAAAUAAAAGCUUAUAUACAUUAAAAAUCGAAACAUAAUAACUAGCACUAUAGAAUACAAUUAAAAAUACAAUUAUAUGAAUACUUCACAAUCAAAACUCAAAAAUAAAACACUUGACAUUAAAAACUAGUAGAACAAGUUACCAAACACUACGUAGAAAAUAAAGAAUCAACCAAGUAAACACCCAUCACACAUUAAAAGUCUAAUAAGUAAUAAAAUUACCCUACAUAGCAAGUCCAUGGAUUAUGACGAGUCAUGGGUAAAAUGACUUAUCCACGUGGGUCAACUACCAUGGGUUUGUCCUUCUCUAGUGCUAAGGCGCCUAGUCUUUGCCUACGACAACAUGGCGAUGACAUGACAAGUUGACAACUAUUGUUCACAAUCCAUUUACACAGAAUAGAAUAGAAAUUAUGAUGAGUAUUGAAAUAGAGAAGAGGAAACACUUUCUUCGUUUAUUAACAGUUUUGGUAGAAAGCCAAAAAAAGAGAUGAAAGAAAUGAGAAACUAUAUCUGUAGUUGUUUUGGGCGAGGGUAUAUUUAUUAUGUCAAGCUGGAUAAUCAGUUAUGUUGAUUAUGGAUUAUAUGGCGAUCCUACAUUUUCUUCCCAAAUCCCUUUGCUUCUUUGGAUAUUCCGAGUCAAGUGUUUUUAUUCCAAUUUUAUGUUGCCUAAUUAUUUUCAAAGAAACGAAAAAUUCUUAUCAGGUGUUCAAGUUCCGGAAUGUCUGACAAAAUUCAAUGCAAAAAGGGAUUCGGCAACUAGAACAUCAAGGAAUAAUGCAGGAAGCCCUAAGAAAAAUCCACUUGAGAUGGCAAGAGAACAAUUUGAAAUUGCUGCUAAAGCAGAAUGUGAUCUUGGAUUUAGAUGGUUAAAAAGACUCGAGGAGGAAGAGAAGCGUCUACUCAAUCCGUAGUUUGCAAAUUAUUUAUAACCGUAGAAGACUCCUACAGCUGGUUUGAUAUAUGUACCAAAUUUUAGGUAAAUACUAUUUCGAUAGAUACCUCGGCGUUUUUGUUAAGAACUUUAAUUCUUAUAUUUGAAAUUCUAAGCUUGAUGUUGAGGUAGUUUGCAGUCAUGAAUGUUGCUCAAAGUUUUAUUUACUUGCCUUACACGGAUCAAAUUGCUCAAAAAUAAAUUUGUUAUUGUUAGGUCUCACGUCCAAUAUUUUAAACCCUAAAUUGUUUGGUGCAUACUAAGUUACUAACCAUACAUUCCUUUCUGUAUAUGAAUAAAUAAAGAAAAUCUUUCUCAUGGAUCUUAUGGUUAUUUUGUCAAGUUGUCUGAAAUUGUGAUACUACUAGUCUCUAGAUUAAUCGAGUCUUGGAUAGUGUGAUUAAAUAAUAUCAAGAGAUUAUAUUCAAAUGGAACAUAACUUAAGGAAAUGACUUGAUAAUUGAUGCAACUACUUUCUUAAAUGCCAACGAAAGUCUGUCAUUUGUAGAAGUAGAAGGGCAUCAUUUAAAGGUCAAAUAGGGUUAAAUGUGCCCUUUUGGCAGGCUCGGUACAUCAAAGCUGAGGAUCUGCCUGCCUUAUGAUGACAAUUUAUACUCAUAUUUCUAAGCUUAGUUGCUACAUAUUCAAUAUUGUUGUGUGCAUAUUUACAUGCAUGUUUUCUUGUUUUUGUAUGUCAUACAUGUUUGCAGUUAUUGAAGGCAGGUGGAUGAUUAGGAAACUAAUCUUAGAUGUCACGAGAAAAUUAUUGUGGCCUGCAAACUGAUUAGCACGGAAUUUAAAAGUCGCGUUGUUGUAAUUAAUCUAUUAUUUGCUGUCGACAACUUGCAGAAACCGUUUAAUCUCUUUCAGUUGGUGUAUUAGUUUAUACAAUAUCAUGAUGUAGUGUUUAGUUAUAUCAUGAUUUUAAAUAGGGAUUGGAGUGGAAACUGAGAUAGCACAUACUUGUAGUAGAUGAGAUGGCUUAUCUUGUAUUUGUUGAUUUAGUUGAGUAGAAUAAAACUUGGAAUUGGACUCGGUCCGGUCCGGUCCGUCUCACAAAAAGAGUCCCAUUUCUGUUCUAAAUUUACACUUGAAAGAUUAUAUAAGUUGUUAGUUAGUAGUGGCUGGAAUAAUUUUUUAAUUUUGACAAACGAUGCUAUUUUGAAACUGAGGGGGAGGGAGUUUGUUUAUUAGCACUUGCACUUAAAUUUUAGAAUAUUAUUAUUCCAAUAGAAUAGAAUAGAGUAGAGUAGAAUAGGCAGUGUGAUGGAUAUAGAAGCAGAGGUCAAUUGUUUUUUGGAGUUUGAGAAUUUGAUUUCCAGGUUUUAUGCGGCCGGGUCUUUUGUUUUGCGUCUUUCCAAUUUGAAACAGAAGCAGCAGCAGGAGGUAUAUAUUUUAGUAUAUCUUUAACCUAGCUAUGAGCUGUCACCAUGGUUGGUGGUGCUGUGUAUAGAAAACAAUCCAACCACACGCAAUUAGUGUUCCACUCCCUCUCAGCCCAGCCCAGGACAGGAUAGCUUAUUUGCGAAAUCUGAUUUGUCCUGAAAGAAUUGAAGAUAUACUUUUGUUCACAUGCCAGCCCCCACAAGUUUGGAGCAGUGCCCAUUACUUUCUAGCCCAGAAAUAUACGAAUAUAUCCAAUUAUGUAGUCUGGAAAACCAUAGGAAUCAAGAUUAAAUUGUGAUUCCAUUAUCUGUUUGUAAAAUUUAAAUAUGAACAAAAUUCACUACUUGUGAUUCCAUCUAGUUACACAAUGGUCAUAAUAGCUUAUACUAAGAAUUCCAAGAAAUGCUGAAAAAUAUGAGCUUGGCUAAAUUUCUCCUUUCUGGACGGCACAUCUUAGGAACUAUAGAAAGUAGGUUUUUCGCCUAUGUGAAAGGCCGAUUCAUGUUUUCAAACCUUCUAAAACAGACGCCGGGAAAGAAACUCAUUAAGAGUCACCGUAAUCCAAGAAAUUGGUGAGUAAGUUUUGCCACCCAACUGGCUAGGUUGUUUGCUGCUUCUUGCGUACUUGUCUCUGCAUAUACUCUUACAACAUCUUCUGUUCCUGAUGGUCGUAUAAAACAUCUGCCUUGAGGGUAGUUUGCUGCAUAAAAGUUCUAGUACAACGCAAGAAGCAUAUUUAGCACACGUUUUAGAAAUUGAAGAUAUCACAGAUGAAAAAUCUUAUACAAUCAGUGACCACCAGGUCUUCAAACCACCGUGGACAUGGUUUUAUUUCAGAACAAGGCUAUGAGCACUCUCACAAAGAUCAUUUGAGUUAGGAUCAUCUGUAUCAAGUUCUUGACAGUUCUCCAGGAUAAGGAAAAAUCGGAAAAAAAGAAAGAAAGAAGAAAGGACAAAAGUAAUCAAAAAAUAGAAAAAGAAGAAAAAGGAUAAAGAGAUUCUUUCCUCUUUUUAACAACAUAAUGGCACAACACUCUAAAUGAGUAUCAACAUGGAUUCAAAACUUUAAUUCUUCUAAUCUAAUAUGUUCAAUACUUGUUGUGUAUCAUCUACACAUGUAGGACCUCACAACACACAUGACAGAACUCUUAACAUGACAAAGUAGAUAAAAACUGUGUUAAAUAACCUAAAUCUUGCGUGGGGAAAAAGAUCUCAAUUCCAUAUUAACAACUCAAAAAGACAGUGAAAUGUUUUACCAGUUACGGCAUUAAUGGCUUCUUGAAUACCAACAGGACUGACAACCACAGUUUCCGCAUUUGCUGUGAUAACAGCAGUUCUGUUAACAACCUUCACCUAAGCCAAGUGAGAAGUUGUAUCAGACUCGUACAAUAUAAUGGCAAGACGUUAUAUAAAAUCAUAUUUAGUUUUUUAAUAAAAUAAUUGAAAACUCCAAGUUCACAAAAUCAGCGGCACCAGAUUAUUGAAGUAACCAUGUAACAAAUAGCAGUAGAAAUUUAGUUUCCAAGCUUUCAACUUAAUUACUAACUAAAUUAAUUUGACAUAGUUCAUAACAGAUUUAAGUUUAUUAAGUUUCAUAGUAAAUGAUAUAAUGACUAAGGUAUUCAAAACAUCGUUCAUAGAACAUUCAUAUAAAUGACCACAAAAAGAACGAACAUUCAUAUAAGGCAUGCAUUAGCAAUUAUAUCAUGAAACAGAAAAAAAACAAUUAGAUAGCAUUCGCUGAAAUUAAAAAAAAAGUUCUUUUAUGGGUUUUAGAGACUUUGAAUAAAUAAAACAAACAAAUUGAAGACACCAAUCAAAAAGAAGCAUCUCCAGCAAGGAUGCUAGUUUAGUCUAACUUCCACCCAGAAGGAAGUGUCCUACUGAAUUAUAUCCUGAAAGGCUGAAACAAGAGAUGCAUCAGAGUUUUUAAAAAUUUAUAAAAGAUUGACCUUAAGCUGUCUACUGGGCAAGUCAUGAUAAAGCUUAUUCCAUCGGUGGAUUGACCAUCCCAUAUAUUGUAAGAUAGCCUCCACUAGAAGCAACCCACUCAGAGCAUCUCCCACUGCCUGAUUGAUCAACUUUCUGACUGCCAAUAGUCUCGAAGCAGCCUUUAGCUGGUCCGAAUCUGCAACAUCGAUUUAUUUAUAUAUUUAAAAUUAACAGCAGUUCCAAAACUUCUAUGUAUAUGUGAAAAAAAGUAAACCACCUUUGGAUAUUGAAGUAAGAUCAUGAAUUCUACCCUCCAACCAGCUUAAGAAAUGACUUUCAUUUAUAGUUAAACAAUAAUUUUAUACUUUUAUUUCAUAGAGAUCAUAGCUUCUCAAAAAAAUUGUACAUGCAUAGGUAGUAGUUGAGGGUUCCAGCAUCAUUAAAAAAAAUGUAUGUGCAAAUAGAUACAAACUAAUUAGUGAAAAUUCCAAUUUCAUGGCAACAAAGGAGAAGCAAGCCAUACUUGUUUUGCAGCCUUAAGAAGAGACUCCCCACUAGGCCUAGUGUCUCUCCCCAAUAAUAUCUCAGCUGUCCGUGCUCCUCCUUCGAGUGGAAUGUUUUCCUUCUUCACAAAUUUAGCAAUUACCUGUUUCAAAAAUUUAGAGACGAAUUACACAACGAAUAACUAAAAAGAUACAACUAAACAUAAAUUACUUUCAAAAUGCACACUAUAAUACCUCACAUACCAAAACAGAGCUUAUCAGCCACCAAACAGUAAACCUUGACAAAAGACAAAACAAAACAAAACAAAACACUCUUACAUACAAUAUGGAUGCAUAAAAUAUGGUAUUUUGACCAAGUUCAAAGUCGGCCUCAAACUGCAAUUGCAUCUAUUUUUUGUGAGUGCAUAUACUUGAAUUUUCUUUUAGCUAAAUUAUACAUGCACCUAAUUCGUAAACAUAAUUUAUCCAUGUAUAAUUACGUAAACACAGUUUAUAAACCCAAUGCCUUUGCUCCUCACAUCCUACUUUUAAUAACUUCUGUUAGUUUCAACGCAUCAUAGUAAAUAAUAUAAAUCACCCACAUUUGAGUUAACUCAUUUCAAAACAAAAAAAAUAACUUGAACCUGGAGCAGGUGUUGAGGAUCAGGGGCAUUAGCCAGCGAAUCAGUAAAAGGCUCCCAAACCUGAGUGAGCAUUUCACCCGUUGGGUCAGCAAUUUUGACUCCAUUGUCGGAGACUUGGUUAUGGGAAGCAGUGAUCAUCAAUCCGAUCACAGCUUGAGUCUUGAGCGACCUCAGCGCCGCCAAUAUCCCAACCCUAUACACGGUCGAUUCCAAAAUCGAUGCAUCUGCUCUAAACCCAGAAGUUCCGUACAAUAAUCUCACCCCUAAUUCAUUCCAAAAUCAUCAACCACAAAAUUGCAAGUCAGAAUUCCGAAGGCUUAUAAUACAAUGUUAAAACCUAAAUAGAAAUUUAUUGAUUGGGAAUAGAACCGACCUUGGGGAGGAGGGAAACGAGCAGAGGAAUCGAGGAGGAUGGAUUGGUAUUGUUCGUUCAUCUUCUGAUCUCUUCAACGAUCUACCGGUGUUGGGGAGGAGGGAAACGAGCAGAGGAAUCGAGGAGGAUGGAUUGGUAUUGUUCGUUCAUCUUCUGAUCUCUUCAACGAUCUACCGGUGUGGAUGUGAGAGAAAGCUUCUUACUUAUGAAAGUGACACUUGUAAGGACAUUUUUGGAAAGGAGGUAAGAAUAUUUAUACGGCAAAGGUGCAAAAAUACCCCAAAGUUUACCCUGAAGUCUUACUUAUACCCUAAACUUUUUUUUUCAAAAGUACAUUUGACGUUAUAAAUUUUGGGUCAAUUGUGCCCAAGGCUGAAAACGAGUCGGACGGGUCGAGGUCGGGUCGGGUCGGGUCGACUCGGGAAAAAAUUGAGCGGGGCUCGAGUUCGUGUAUGGGCGAGUCGAUUUUGAGCGGUCUUUAUUAUUCGACUCCUCAAACGAUCCGGAUGUGAGAGAAGUCAUACUCUACUCGUUUUCUACAUGAGUAGCUCGAUAGAUUUCGAAUCAUUCGCCAUGAAUUCAAUCGAAUAUGUUCGAUUAUGGUUCGCAAUAUGAAUAUAUGUAAAGCUAAGUUUGAUUCUUGGACGACUGGACUGGAAGUACCAAAUUGACCCAACUGGAGAACAUAAAUCGUCAGCCGCCCAAGAAUCAAACUUAGCUUUACAUAUAUUCAUACUCGCGAACCAUAAUCGAAAAAUAACUUUCCCUUAUAAUCAUACUAAUGACAAGAAAAAUAACUAAAACAACAAAGAUUGGAGCUUUUCUAUAACACACGAAUAAGAAAUCAAUUGGGAAAAAGUACAACCAGACACAAUUUUAUAGCAGUAAAUAAAUUAAUAAAACACGAGUUCGAAAGAAUAAAAAAAGGUAAACUGAAAUUUUGAGAAGGAUUAUUAAUAAAAUAAAAAUAAAAAAAUUCUGCAAAUAACUAAUGAAACAAGAUAUAACACAGGAAUUCCUAGUGACCAUUGAAUUAGACAACCAUAAAUAAAAAGUGAAUUAUUGGAUUUUCCCUUGUAAUCAUACUAAUGACAAGAAAAAUCACUAAAACAACAAAGAUCGGAGCUUUUCUAUAACACACGAAUAAGAAAUCAAUUGGAAAAAAGUAGGGGGGGACUACCCCAACUUUUGUAGCUACUAUAUAUGCAACUAAUAAAAUUUAGCAAGGUUAGAACAUAAUAUGCACAAGAUAACUUAUUCAGAACUAACACAUGCUGCAGUGGAAACUCUUUUACCAGAAUUCUCAUAUUUUAAUCUCUACGAUAAAAAUAGAGAGAGUGACUAAUCAAAAUAACAGAACCAGCAGUGCCAGAACAAUUUCACAAAACAAAGAAAAUAACAAAUGAAAUAAGGUUUAUAUACAAGCAAGUAAAGAAAUUCCACGUUUCCUGACUUCUUUUCCUUUACAAAUCCAGUUCUAAACAUCAAAUCUUAUUUCUUUUUUUGGGAGAGUUAACUGUAGCCCCAUACUAAGCUAGAGUCUAGACAUCAAAUCUUAGUUACUGUUUUUGGAAUUUUCUGAAAAUGAGCACUUUCUUAGAUACCAACUUCAAAAAAAAUCAUUUCAGAAGAAAUCAAUUGGAAAAAAGUAGAACCAAACACAAUUUUAUAGCAGUAAAUAAAUUAAUAAAACAUGAGUUCGAAAGAAUAAAAAAAGGUAAACUGAAAUUUUGAGAAAGAUUAUUAAUAAAAUAAAAAAUUUCUGCAAAUAACUAAUGAAACUAGAGAGUGAGAGGGCAAAAAAGUGUAAUGAUUAAUUAAGAAAAUUGUACCUCUUAUACACUGGCAAUGGCUAUCGAGCAGACAAAGAGAUUUCAAUGCUCGUACGGGAGAGAAAGAUGAAAUAACAUAAGGAACAAACCCUCUAAAAAAACCAAAUUGCAAAGAGACUUAAAUGGACCACAUAAAACCUAGAAAUCGUCCAAGGUCAAAACCCAGAACGAGUUGAUGGAUAAUAGUUAAGGGUUUACCGAAUCGAAGUCGAGAUAUGUAGAUUCUUGGUCUUCGUGUUGCUUGAUUCGAUUUUUUCGAGAUUGGUUUUUUUUUAGCGAACAACUUCAAUUUGUUUUGGAGAGAUAGAACGUAGGUUGGGUUUUGUUUUUGAUUUGGAGAGAACAGAUAUUUUGUUUUGGAGAGAGGAGGUUGGGUUUUGUUUUUGAUUUGGAGAGAACAGAUAUUUUGUUUUGGAGAGAGGAGGUUGGGUUUUGUUUUUGAUUUGAAGAGAACAGAGGUUUUGUUUUGACGGAAUGUUUUAUUUUGGAGAAAACUGUAAUUUGGGUUUUGUUUAAAUAGGUACGGGGAAUGCUUAAUAUAUAUAUAUAUAUAGAAAAAAUUUCAAGAGCAGAAUUUUAAAUAGCAGAAUUUCUUUAAACAACAGAACUAUUUAAUAAGUCUCCUGUAUUUUUUUUAAAGCUAACUCCCGUG